rnacentral:rRNA from 1 species
GGCGAACGGGUGAGUAACACGUGGGUAAUCUGCCCUGCACUCAGGGAUAAGCCUGGGAAACUGGGUCUAAUACUGGAUAUGACCUUUCUCCUUAUGGGGUUUGGUGGAAAGUUUUUCGGUGUAGGAUGAGCCCGCGGCCUAUCAGCUUGUUGGUGGGGUGAUGGCCUACCAAGGCGACGACGGGUAGCCGGCCUGAGAGGGUGAUCGGCCACAUUGGGACUGAGAUACGGCCCAG